CGAUCUCCGGAGUUAAGCAACGUCGAGCCUGGUCAGUACCUCGACGGGUGACCGCUUGGGAAUACAAGGUGCUGUAAG